UCUGAAAAAGAAUAAAAAAGGAUGAUAAAUAUAAUAAUUUAAAGAUUUAUUGCCAGACUUAAAAUACCAAUUGAAAAUGUAUUGCCGUGUCUAUAUACAUUUAAUACAAAUCUAAAAAAUGUAUAACAAACUGUAUUGACAUUGGUGUUGUAUAGCUUAAACUUAUAUGGAAUAAACUACAGCUGAAUUUGUUUAUAGAGUAAUAAUCUGCAUCAUCUUACAAGAAAAUGCUGCUUUGCAGACUAUAUAAGUUGAAUACAAUCCUUCAGAAGCACACUUGAUCUGACCAAGUUGUAGCUCUACAAUGAAAGCAAUAUUCGCACUCUUUUUGAUAGUCGCCAUCAUGGGAAUGGCUAUGGCUGGAGUUCACCAUUAUAAAGUUCAAGGUGGUGGAGGUCAUGGUAAGCCUUUUAAAUACUUUUUUAAUAUUUUUUUAAAUAUAUAUAUAAUUAGUUACUAUACUAAGUCUUUGAAGACAAAAUUUAAUUCUUAUGUAAAUAUCUCAGAAUAAAUAUAUUCAAUUUCUUUAAGAAAAUGAGUUUCUAUGCAAAUUUUAUGGUUUUAUUUUUCUUUAAAAAUUUAAAAAUCACAAAAUUACAAAUAAGUUAAAGAAUUCAUUAUGGCAAAAUAAAAUGAAUUAAUGUCGAAUGGCAGUUUGUUGUCACAAUAUAUUUUUUUAUUCGAAGCAUAUUUUAUUAAAGGAUAUAGGUAGAACAUUUUACUAUUAAAUUCAUUCCCUCAAAAAUGUAUUUUUGAAAUUUGAUCUUACUCCCUUAAAUAACAAUUGUGAAUGCUAAUCACAGACAUCCACUACACAAAUAAAACGGAGUCUUUACUGCCAAAGAAAAGACUUUAAGCAUCUCUAUAUUAGCAAAUUUCAACAUUUAAAGUGACACAAUAUUAAAGCAUGUAAUACGAAAUCAUAAAUAUGGAAAUCCUAGAACUAUUCCAAUGCAAUUUAUGUUAUAGCAAAAGAUAAGAAGUCAGUCUAUGAAAUUUAAUAAAAUAUUUUAAAUAAUAAAAUUAUAUACCGAAACAUGAAUAACGUAAUAUUAUGAUAUCGCAUUAUGUUAAUUUCCUGCUUACUAUGUAUAUUAGUUGAAUGAUUUCUUGUUGAUAUGACAAAAUAGAGCAAAUUCAAAGUUCUAUAGAGUAUAUUGGGAGUUUUUAUAACUUUAUUAUUUGCUAAAUCUCCUGUUGUGUCAUUUUUUUAUUAUUUAGAUAAAACAUUUCUUCGGUUAUAAUGACAAAUCAAUAAUUUUUACAUUAUAGAGAAAUGAAGUCUCAUGAACGGGGCUAGUUACGAAACAAAAUUAUUAUCUAUAAAUUAAAUUUAGGCGAAAUAUUUAUUUAGAUUUUUACAGCUAAAACUAUAGAACAAAUGAUUUCUAAUUUUUCAAAAAAAAGUAUUAGUUUAUUAUCGGUCUUACUCUAAUAAUGAUUGUUGAAUGUUCUUAUCGAAGAAGUGAACGAAUCAAUGAAUUAAGAACAUUGUUUUCAUGUAUUUUAAAGUUUUAAAUCAGAAUUUUUUAAAAAUUAAUCUCAUAUAAAAUAAUACAGUUUACAGCUCAGAUAAUUUUAAAAUUCUUCUAAUUAAAAUUCAUAAAUAACAAUUAAUAUUUCUUUAAUUAUUUAACAGCUCAUGGUGAGUGCAUUCAUUAUUCUAUAUAAUUCUCCUUAUUUCAAAUGAAUAAUCGUAUUUGAAAUAAUUUAAAAUAUUGAAUAUUUAAAUUUAAAAUAAUAUGGAUGGAUGGAUGGAUGGAUAUUGGAUUUUUAUGGCGCAAGAGCCAAAACUGGCUAUGCUGCGCCAAAACAAGUGGUAUGUGUAUAUUACCAUAUGAUUGUUAAACAAAACAUUUCCUCAAGGUUAAAAUACAAACAACGUUUUACACUUAUAAAAAGAAAGCGUAAUAAGUUUAAAGGACAGAGAUCUUAAAAUUCAGACUCCAAUUAUGGAAAAAAUUCCAAGAAAAUGUUUAAAAUCCCAAUAGUUUUCAUAUAAAAUGGAAAAAAUUUAUUGCCCUUAAAAAUUUAAAGAUAUUCCUGUGAGGGUGUUCUCCCACCAAUUCAUGCAUUUCCAAUGUUAAUGAAUUAAAAAACCGCACACGAUGAGAAUUAAAUUUAGGACACUGAAUUAAAAUGUGUAAAACUGUAAGAUUAACAUUGCAGUCUGAGCACAUCGGUGGACGCUGACCAAACAAAAGAUGUUUGUGCGUAAGGCGGGUGUGACCAAUGCGUAGUCUGGUUAAUUUGACAUCUGCCCCUCUAACCGAGACAGCAGGCCAUAAGUUAAUAGUCGGUUUAAUAAAAUGCAAUUUAUUUUGCAUUUCUCUAUCCCAGGAUUCUUGCCAAACAGAAAGUAUGUAUUUGUCAUAUGUGGCAAACAGAUCGGAAUGAGUGCAUGGUCGUGAAAGACUAUGUAGAGCCGCUCUCGCAGCGCAAUCAGCCUUUUCACUGCCAACUAUACCUACAUGACUAAAAUAAUAUGAACAUCAAAAAUUAGAAAUUAAUUCAUUCAUGAAUUGAAAAGAGAAAUUAAUUCAUUAUGAAAUAGAAUUAUGAUUAAUACUUUAUAAUAAUUUCGACUUUAUAUAUUUUAAAAUAAAUACUGCAUCAACAAUUUUAUAUAUCUUAUCAACUUAUCAUACUUAUAACUUUAUCAAAAUUUUAACCAAGGUAUUUAGAAUUUCAGAACGAAUUUAAAUGGAAAUAUAAUCUCUUCAAUACGAAAAUGUAUAAUUAUUUUCAAUUUCUUUAUUCCAGAGCAAGACAUAAUUUAAUUCCAAAUAUGAAUACUUGUUUUAACCACAUAAUAGUGAUUAAUUGACAAACAAGAUCACCAGAUAUAUCAUGUUAGCCUAUUGACUAUGCUUGCAAAUGACAUGUGGUUAAUCUCAAAGUUCGCUAAUAGCAUACAAUUGAUUCACAAGUGCAUACAGGCAUACAAUUGAUUCACAAAUAUUUUUCAAAAAACUGACAAUAAAUUUCAUUUUACUUCAUUUAAUUGUUAUAAUUAAAAUAUGCAAACGAUAAAAAAUAAAAUCUUAAUUUCAAUAUUAAUUAAAAAAAGCAGACGAUAUUUCCAACCAAUAUAAAAUAAUCAGACCAAUCACCAAUAAACAAGUGAUUGAUUCAUAGUUCCUAUCGUAAAACGUUAUUGAUUGCAUUUUAUUAAAAAAAAAGAAGAAUUACAAUUCAUAUUCUUUAUCUUCAAACAUACUUAAAAUGCAGAGAUAAACCUUUAGACCUUGUAGAGAAGCUUUUGCCACUUCUUUACAGAAGUGAAAGAAGAAACACUUUGGUUUACUUCUUUCAAAUAUUUUCAGCAUUAUAAACAUAGCAGUAAGCCUAGAUUUUUAUAUGAUUACUUUAAUAUUAUCUAUUUUACAAUAAAUACUGGGUCAAGAGAUAGGAAUAACAGUCAAUAAUUCGAUAGAAUAAAACGAUAAAACAAAUGAUUUCAAACUUUUCAAAAAAAUACUAAUUUAUUAUCAGCCUUUCUCAAAUAAUGAUUGUUGAAUAUUCUUAUCGAGGAAGUGAACGAAUCAAUAAAUAAAGAUUGUUUUUAAGUAUUUUAAGUUUCAAAUAGGAAUAUUUUUUUAAUUUAAAAUCAUAUAAAAUGAUUGAGUUUACAGCUCAGAUAUUUUAAAAUUCUUCCAAUUAAAAUUCAUAAAUAAUAAUUUAUAUUUCUUUAAUUCUUUAGCUGCUCCUG